CUGCCAAGCGCAGAGCUAUCGAUGGAAGGCGCGAAGGAGGAGGCGGCGGCGGCGGCCUACGCCUGGGCCUGGGCCUCCCCUGAGGGAGGUGGGGUGGCUGCUCCCCUGUUUUCGGCCACCCUGGAAUAGGCCCUGAUCACGGGGCCUGCUGGAGCGUCCCGAGGCUCGCAGCUUUCUUGAGGACAGACUGAAGAAUGAGGCUUUCAGACCUCUGCAGGAUGUCAUCCAGGGGACUUCUUCCCAUGUUCUCGCUUCCCUCUGGAAGAGGCUGCCCCCCGUUGAGGCAAGCACCACACAAGGGCACACCAGCUUCUGAAAGGGCUUCUAAAUGUGGGAACUGAGGGACAGACAACUCCUUCAAACCCGGAGUCAGACCCUUAUGUGCGACCUGCGAGGACUGAGGUUACUGGUUUUUAAGAGUCCUGUAGCACAGGAACAGUGAAGAUCAGAAUCCCGUUAUGGUGAACUUGCCAAUUGGUGAUUAAAGCCUUGCAAUGUCAGGUCUAAGAUAUUUCCUCAAGCGUGAAGGUCUGAUUCAAUUCUUAUCUGGAGACACCUGGGAUUCAUAAGGUAGAUCCUUCAUGGACAACGUUCGUAGACCUGAACUGAGAACUUAAUAUGAUCACUUCACAUGUGACUGGAUCAAUAAUGCCUUUCAUGGCCUCCUGCUGCGUGUUCCUGUCAUGCCUUGGCACCUCUGCAUAACCUGCUGUUCAUCAGGAGCCCAAUGAAAUAAUUUGCUGUGGUCGUGAGAAUGCUGUCAGCCACUUCACACUCAUUAAGGUCUCAGCCAGGACACAGCAUGAAGCCUUGGAUGUACAGCAUUUGUAAGGAACGUCAGUAUUAACUUCACACUGUCCCACACGUUGAGGCUGGAAGAUUUCCCCUCGAUGUCACGUUGUUGUGGUUUAACCCCAGCCGGCAACCAAGCCCCACACAGCCACUCACUCACCUCCCUCACAGUGGGAUGGGGGAGAGAAUCAGACGGGUAAAAGUGAGAAAACUCGUGGGUUGAGAUAAAGACAGUUUAAUAGGUAAAGCAAAAGCUGCGCACGCAAGCAAAGCAAACCCAGGAAUUCAUUCACUGCUUUCCAUCGGCAGGCAGGUGUUCAGCCAUCUCCAGGAAAGCAGGGGUCCGUCACGCUAAGUAACGGUGACUUGGGAAGACAAACGCCAUCACUCCAAACGUCCCCCCUUCUUUCUUCUUCCCCCAGCUUUAUAUGCUGAGCCUGACGUCCUAUGGUCUGGAAUAUCCCUGGGAUCAGUUGGGGUCAGCUGUCCUGGCUGUGUCCCCUCCCAACUCCUUGUGCCCCCGCAGCCUGCUCGCUGGUGGGGUGGGGUGAGAAGCAGAAAAGCCCUUGAUUCUGUGUAAGCACUGCUCAGCACUAACUAAAACAUCCCUGUGUUAUCAACACUGUUUUCAGCACAAAUCCAAAACGUAGCCCCAUACCAGCUACUGUGAAGAAAAUUAACUCUACCCCAGCCAAAACCAGCACACAUGUUAAGUCAGGCAUAAUGCCUAUAGGAUGCUUGUCAUGAAGCUGCAUUUGAGCAGAAACAGGGAUAAAUAUCAAAGUUUCCCUUUUGAUCCAGAGGCUCAGAGUAAACCUGUCAGGGAGCAGCAGCAAGGCCAGGGGCUCACUGAGGGAUGGAGAACCAGGAGGUGAGUGGUAACAAGGCCAGCAGUGCAGGAUUGUUGUGAUCCCUUUUUCUUACUUCCUGCAUAAAAUAGGCCUCCUUCAUCUUUGAUUCAGAUUCUGUAAAUGUUGUUACAAUGCCAUGUCUGUUACAAGCUGAUGGUUCUUGCAUCUAACGUGUAACGUAGGGUGUACCUGGUCAUUCUGUCGCUGUAAUAAUGGUAUGACAGCUUAGAGAACUGUUAAGACUCAUGGUUUUCCCUGCCUAUAUGAAUUGGUCAGGUAUCAAUAUUAAAAUCACAUGCUAGUCAGCCAGAUAGGCUAGUUUCUUGCUGUUACAUUUCCAAUUACUAUGUUCAUCUUCCAGUUUUCUUCCUAUUCCCAAAAGGAUCAUAUGGAAAGGAAUUUGGGUCUAAGCAGAAAGUGGAUUAAGAUUCAAAGAGGAAAUGCCAAAUAAUGUACCCUUUCUAAUUUGCAUAAUUUGAAAAGUGGAGGAAAUACUAAAUUAGCAGGAGGUUUACUGGAGGAGUUCAAGAUAAUGUUAGACCACAAAAGUGACAAUGAACAAUAACUUAGAGACGCUGGGAGUAACACAUUGAUAAGUAAGGAUUACCUGGGUAAUUAAAAGCAACUUAAUUACCUAGUUUUUAAAAUCUUAUGCCUCCUAGAGUUUCACGCAGCCUUUUCUUGUUUUGACUGCCUGGAUGAGAUACUCAGAUCCCAUAUUUUUAGAUCAGAAAAACCUACUCGUAACAGUAAAGUUAUGUGACUUAAUUUCCCACUUCAUCAAACUUGUGCUUUUUAUGAGCCAUGCGUAAGCAAUUCAGAGGCUGCAGCUCAUCUGCAAUGGGCAAAUAAUGAACAGAACAUGCAAGGAUGUAGCUGCUUUGUAUUAGGGGUAUUGUGCAUCAGCUCAAUGACAUGAGAAUUUAAAAUCAGGCCAUACACACCAGCAAAGCUUAAAAGCGAUGGGAGUUGGUGUAAUGUAACUGUUCUUAUUGAACCGUUUGUGUUGACUUGUACAGAUAAUUUCUGUUGAAGGCCUUCCAUUUAGAUUUGAUCUUGUUGGGCCCCCUUCAAGUGACAGGACCUAAGGUGUGGUGAGCUACACUGGUCAUGGGGGAAAGCGUAAGGCUGCGAGUAUGGGCAGGCGAGUUACCCAAAGCAGCUAAGGUAUGGACUAUGCUGGCUGUUCAGUGAGUACAUGCUUUUUCUGUAGUUUGUUCCUCUCCUUCCGAGAGACCCAUUACCUGUAUGUGCUGCAGGGCAAAUAAACGUGUGUGAGCUUCUAGCACAGAGUGCUCGACCCUGUGAGUUCACUGCCUGACUCACUUCACGGUCCUUUACACAGCACAACUGAAUUGGCCCCACAGGGCCUGGUCUUCCUUCCAGUUAUGUAGACUUUGCAGUUGAACUUGAUCCACUUUGACUAGGCUUGCACCCAAGUACUGAAGCGGCAAUAGGAGUCUGAUGCAGUGUCUACAUGACAGACUAAUGUGCAGCUCUGCUUGUGCAGGGUGUGAAGAAAGCUCGUCUCUGCCUGGCCUUGUGGCAUCAACAGAAACCUCUGGAGCUCUAGCAGUGUACCUUAUUUUAUUCAGGUUUAUGGUAGCUUUUAAAAUAAAUUUAAACAAAACUACGAGAAGUUCUCUUAGCUGUAUUACAAAUGAGUAGUCUUCCUAUGCUAGUAAAGUACUUCUAAUGAACACAGAGCAAAAAUUUUAAGGGACACUUGCAAGUGGAUUUGUAUUACGUGACUUACCUGUGAGUCAAGAAUUGAGCUUGACCCAACACAUUGUUCCCAUCCUCUGUUCUUAUGAUGUUAUUUUACUGCAAGCUUAAUUCCACACUGGUUAAUGAAUUGGAGUAUGUCAAAGGUAAUUGUAGGUUAAUGUACUGGGAUCGAACUACAUAAUAUUGCAUAGCCUUUGUGUAGCAGUCUGAAUAGAAGCCUGUUAAGUGCUCUAAAACUUGGUGCAUCCUAGAUGCUGUAAACUGAGUGAGGUUGAAAAUGCGGUGGACAGCGUUUUAAAAGAGGAUUCUGAGCACUUCUUUAUUUAGCCUAGAAAUGGAACUGUCACAGCCCUUUUUUAUGCUGUUGGAACAACCACUGGUGUUUCUCUAAAGCCUUUAUAUGAGGAUCUUGUCUUUUACAAAAGCAAAUUUUGUUAUUGCUACUUGGAAACACAGAAAACUGAGUUACAGCAAGGUACCGUGACCUCAUUCCUAUCUGUAGAAUGUAAUUUUAAUUCUGGAUUAAAACAUCCCAAAUUCAGAUGUUUCCAUCCAGAUCUUAACACUACAACCUGAACUCAUCACAAAGUCCAGCAUCAGUUGCCUACCUCAGACCAUCUUUCAGUUCACUGAUACUCUAUAAUUCAGGGCACACCGUGUGCAUAAUACUGUUCUCAAGCCAGUCUUGCUCCCUUGUUCUCUCUCAUACACACAGUUAAAAUGGAAGACAGAAAAAAAAAUAGAAAACAAGGACUUCCUGCAUUCUUGCAUUUCUUUUUUUUCCCAGCCUGAUUUGUGCUUCUAGGCAGAUUGUGAAUAUUCAGCUCACACAGUACAGCCAAAGCAGAGCCUACACCCAGCACUCUCUUGAAAACAAAGAGAAUAUGCUCUAUAUAAGUCUGUACUUCACAGUCUGUUCCCUGAACCAGCUCAUGUGGCCUAAAUAACUCAAAGGCCUGCAGUAUCCCAGUGGCGCCUGCAUUUUAGAGGAUAAAAAGUUCUUAGGUAUUUCAGCUGAAGUUUGAAAAGAACUUUGUGGGGAAAAAAUAAUGCAGAAAGGUAUUAAUGAAUUAAUAAUAGUCAGGUUUGUUUAUUGAUUUCUAACUGACCUGAAUCUCUCCGUGUUUCCUGAAUCAUCUUAGCACUAAAUUGGUUUGAAUAAAACCCCAUUUUUACUAAGCCACCCUUGUCU